AGUGAACGCUGGCGGUAGGCCUAACACAUGCAAGUCGAACGGCAGCACAGUAAGAGCUUGCUCUUACGGGUGGCGAGUGGCGGACGGGUGAGGAAUACAUCGGAAUCUACUUUUUCGUGGGGGAUAACGUAGGGAAACUUACGCUAAUACCGCAUACGACCUACGGGUGAAAGCAGGGGAUCUUCGGACCUUGCGCGAUUGAAUGAGCCGAUGUCGGAUUAGCUAGUUGGCGGGGUAAAGGCCCACCAAGGCGACGAUCCGUAGCUGGUCUGAGAGGAUGAUCGGCCACACUGGAACUGAGACACGGUCAAGACUCCUACGGGAGGCAGCAGUGGGGAAUAUUGGACAAUGGGCGCAAGCCUGAUCCAGCCAUACCGCGUGGGUGAAGAAGGCCUUCGGGUUGUAAAGACCUUUUGUUGGGAAAGAAAAGCAGCAGGUUAAUACCCCGCUGUUCUGACGGUACCCAAAGAAUAAGCACCGGCUAACUUCGUG
rnacentral:rRNA from 1 species